GGACCCGCACAAGUAGUGGAGCAUGUGGUUUAAUUCGAAGAUACGCGCAGAACCUUACCAACACUUGACAUGUUCGUCGCGACUUUAAGAGAUUAGAGUCUUCGGUUCGGCCGGACGAAACACAGGUGCUGCAUGGCUGUCGUCAGCUCGUGUCGUGAGAUGUUGGGUUAAGUCCCGCAACGAGCGCAACCCUCACUUUUAGUUGCCAUCAUUAAGUUGGGCACUCUGAAAGAACUGCCAGUGAUAAGCUGGAGGAAGGUGGGGAUGACGUCAAGUCCUCAUGGCCCUUACGUGUUGGGCUACACACGUGCUACAAUGGGCAUCUACAGAAGGCAGCGAAGUCGCAAGGCG
rnacentral:rRNA from 1 species